rnacentral:rRNA from 1 species
GACGAACGCUGGCAGCGUGCUUAACACAUGCAAGUCGAGCGGUAAGGCCCUUUCGGGGGUACACGAGCGGCGAACGGGUGAGUAACACGUGGGUGACCUGCCCUCAGCUCUGGGAUAAGCCUGGGAAACCGGGUCUAAUACUGGAUAUGACUCCAUGACGCAUGUUGUGGGGUGGAAAGCCUUGUGCGGCUGAGGAUCGGGCCCGCGGCCUAUCAGCUUGUUGGGGGGUGAUGGCCUACCAAGGCGACGACGGGUAGCCGGCCUGAGAGGGCGACCGGCCACACUGGGACUGAGACACGGCCCAGA